rnacentral:rRNA from 1 species
UGGGGAUUUUUCCGCAAUGGGCGAAAGCCUGACGGAGCAAUACCGCGUGAGGGAGGAAGGCUCUUGGGUUGUAAACCUCUUUUCUCAGGGAAGAACAAAAUGACGGUACCUGAGGAAUAAGCAUCGGCUAACUCCGUGCCAGCAGCCGCGGUAAUACGGAGGAUGCAAGCGUUAUCCGGAAUUAUUGGGCGUAAAGCGUCCGCAGGUGGCAAUUCAAGUCUGCUGUUAAAGGUUCUGGCUCAACCAGAGACAGGCAGUGGAAACUGAAUAGCUAGAGUGCGGUAGGGGCAGAGGGAAUUCCCAGUGUAGCGGUGAAAUGCGUAGAGAUUGGGAAGAACACCGGUGGCGAAAGCGCUCUGCUAGGCCGUAACUGACACUCAUGGACGAAAGCUAGGGGAGCGAAUGGGAUUAGAUACCCCAGUAGUC